CGCGACUUCAGGACGCGGGGUUUGUGACCGUCGCGCGUGGAUUCCUCUCCUCAUCCAUCGCUGGCUGGCUGGAGACGACACCUAAGAGUGGCUGGAAGCACCGCGAGUAGCCCUGGGGAAGGCCAUAGAAGGCACUUGACAUGGCUAACGAUGUGUUGGAUACCUUCCACAGAAUUAAAUAGUAAAAUGUAAGCCAUUUCAUUUAAUUCUCAAAACUCAAGCAAUGCACACAGCACUGAGGGUCAAACACAGACAACGCCCUCAAGGCAUCCAGCAGCACCUGCCGGUCCCCUGGAACAAUCUAAAUGAGGGGGAGCAAUGCACUGCGAGCCAUCCUCUGACCACAGCCACCGGCUCACCACAGGGUUGCAGCCCUCACCUGGCAUACCAAGUGUGUCUUCCAUGCCAGGUAUCCUCUGGGGACAGGCACCAUGUCUUAUUUCCCAGGCUGGAUGUCCUGUUUGGAUCCACUCCAAUUUGUUGUUAAAAUGAAGAAUCUACACCUGAACUAGAGCUGAAGGAUUUCUUGCCCUGUGUUGGGCAGUGUUCAUCAGUAGCACAGUCUAAGACUGCACCACCGCAGCCUGAAGGUCUGGUUUGCUGACACGUCGUCGGUGUGAUGUGCAUUGAGGACCGCUGCAUUUCUGCUAGACUCUUCCCGUCGUUCCAUGUUCCAUCGUGGGGAGGAGACAUUCGAAGACCCUGAUUCUCUUAUCCCAUUCAUUCAUUCAUUCAUUCACUCAUUACUUAUACUUCCUUUUCUAAAGAUUUUAAAAUAAAAAUUAGUAAGGACAUAAAUAAAAAAAAUCACUAUGAGGAAAAAGGAAGCAAAUUUCCCAGUUCCUAGAGUUAAUGUGUGCGCUGAGACUGAGCACAUGAAGUUCACAUCUAAGUUUCCCCCCAAAGGAGAGGGUUGCGUUCCUCCUCCACGCAUCCUCCAUCGAAGGGGAGGAGGGACCUGGAAGGGCCACCUCAGGAGUUCACACACUGACUUCUCAAUGUGAGAUACACUUGGCACCUGAGAUCUAGUCACUUAAUACAUUCAGUGCAUAUUGUAAACUCUAAGUGUUAUUGGAGUAACAGAAUCUUAUAAAAAUGUAAAAUAUGGCCCUUUCAACCUCAUAAUACAGAAAGUAUGUUAUUGCUUUAGCUACAGUAACAUAUGUUAACCAUGGACAUCUAACAAUGAGUCAAUCAGCAGCACAGUUUUGAGGAGAAAAGGCCUUGCUACUGAUAU